UUCGGAAAAAUGGCAUCAAAUAUGGAUUUUAUCCAGGUCUGUGCCCAAAGCAUGGCUCGCUUUUACACCAGCGUUGUCCUGGCAUUUGACGAAGUUGAAGACAGCAUCAGGAGAGUCCAAGACCAGGACUCUACCCCUCUCAUGGGAAAGUGACCCCCCCCCCACCCCGAAGAAAAAUAACCCCCAGCAAAAAAUAAAAAAUAAAAAUAACAACAAAAAAUACAGCAUCAAAUAAAUAAAUAAAAUCA